GAGGGUGUAGCUCAGUGGUAGAGUGCUAGCAUGCAUGAGGUCCUGGGUUCAAUACCCAGCACCUUCA
rnacentral:tRNA from 1 species